CUUUUGGAGAUCGUAUGAACCACAGAUAUAAUCAUCUUUAGCCAACAGAAGUUAUGCCACAAACGACUACAACAAAAUAACGAGUGAAUCCCACAAAUACACAUUCUCUUUCUCAUAGCACAAGCAUAUGCAUUCAUCUUUUCUCAGUUCAAAUGCAAGAAUGUGCAAAUUAGGCCAAUCAAACACCCGAGGAAAACGAGCAUUCCCAUCAUCAUCAGACAGGUAAUCGAUUUCACACAUGCGAUGCAGUGCAAAUUAGGCCAAUCAAACACCGGAGGAAAACGAGCAUUCCCAUCAUCAUCAGACAGGUAUCGAUCUCACACAUGCGAUGCGGAUACUCAUGACACUACUCUAGUAAACCACACUGAAUGUACGGACUAGCUCAGCACAUAUAGCAGCUCUCGGAACCAAAACUACCACCAGCUCAAGGCAAUCCCUUCAUUGGAUCAGCCGUCUUCCCAGACCUGGCGUCAGACCACGCUUUGGCUAUUGUGCGCUUCAUAUCUUCAUCACCUUCCUCAUACAUGCCCU
rnacentral:lncRNA from 1 species